GGGGGUUUAGCUCAGAUGGGAGAGCGCCUGCUUUGCACGCAGGAGGUCAGCGGUUCGAUCCCGCUAGUCUCCACCA
rnacentral:tRNA from 1 species